CCGCGUUCCGCAAAGUCCGCCGCGCGCAAGACCACCAGGCCGCCGCGCGCCCCCUCGGGGAGAGCGCGCCCAGCCCAGCCGGCCAACUGUCGCGCGCGCCAUCGCCGGAGGGCGCCCUCGGCAAAGCUGGCCGCGGGCACCGGAGAGCGUGCUGGGCGAAGUUUGCGCAGCUCUAGCACCGCGCUCCAAGUGACCCGGAGAGCGCGCUCCGCAAACCCGCCGCACGCGGCCUCCCCAUCCAGGCGAACUGAAGAGCGCGCCCUGCCGACUUCGCGGCUCUGGACGAUGGGGCGCUCGUCGGAGACCCCCGCUCCUGCUCUCCCGCUGCUGCCCGGGUCUACACCUGGACUUCGGCCUCCACACCAGCUCCGGGACCCAGUUCCCAAGGCCCGAGGACGCCUCCCCCGCCAGACCCUGACCCCAGUAUGCGCGGGCUGCGCCCCUCGGGGGGACGGGGCGCCCACAUCUGCAAGAGCUACCGUCUCCCAGGGGCCCGCGCUGGGAGCCGCCGUGGUCUCCCGCCUCCCAGAACUUGCUUCCAGUCCCUGGCGCGCCUUUCUCACCCUUGGGCAGCAGGACGCUAACUCCGUUUCCUGCAGAGCGCGUCCCCAGUGCCUAACACCGCCUGCUGGCCUGGAUGUAGCGCCAGAAUCAUUCAUGGACUAUUUAUUGAGCGCCCCCAUGUGUCAGCCACUGGGUACGUGGCCGUGACUUGGUCUACUGUGGGAGAGUCAGUGAGUCCCCCCAACACCACUUCACCCCGGCGUCUCCCACACCCGCAACACCCACGCACCUUCCCACAUUUGUCCUUUUUCAACCUGAGGCCUCCAAGGCCUUGCUCUCCGAGACUCCUCAGGGGACCAGCUAAUGAACACAGUCGCACUGAGGUGUAAAUAGCUGAGGAGAAAUUACAGUUUUAUUCACACCAGAGAUGUUGACUGUGAAACUAUCAACGCCUUGAGUGAAAGGAGUGAACCUUCGUGGUGUGACAUCGGGCAAGAACCACAUCUUGUCUUUUAUUUGCUCUCCUCUGGGACUGAGACUUCAAUAUUGUCCGUAAAAUCUCACCAGUACACAGAUACACGCAGAGUGAAGACGACCAUCUACAAGCCAAGGACAGAGGCCUUAGAAGAAAUCAACCAUGCUGACACUUUGAUUUCAGACUUCCAGCCUCCAGAACUGUGAGAAGGCACUGGGGAUACAGAAAGGACAACAAGGACCAAGGAUCCUAUUUUGAUGGAACUCAUAUUUUGAUGGAGGAGACGGAUAAUUU